rnacentral:sRNA from 1 species
UUAAUAGGGGAGUGAAAGUUGUGUCGUAGUUGAGGUGAUUAAUAGGGGAGUUAAAGUUGUGUCGUAGUUGAGGUGAUUAAUAGGGGAGUGAAAGUUGUGUCGUAGUUGAGGUGAUUAAUAGGGGAAUGAAAGAUGUCUCGUAGUUGAAGUGAUUAAUAUUUAAGUGAAAGUUGUGUCGUGGUUGAGGUGAUUAAUAGGGGAGUGAAAGUUGUGUCGUAGUUGAGUUGAUUAAUAGUUGAGUGAAAGUUGUGUCGUAGUUGAGGUGAUUAAUAGGGGAGUUAAAGUUGUGUCGUAGUUGAGGUGGUUAAUAGGGGAAUGAAAGAUGUGUCGUAGUUGAGGUGGUUAAUAGGGGAGUUAAAGUUGUGUCGUAGUUGAGGUGAUUAAUAGGGGAGUGAAAGUUGUGUCGUAGUUGAGGUGGUUAAUAGGCGAGUGAAAGUUGUGUCGUAGUUGAGGUGAUUAAUAGUUGAGUGAAAGUUGAAGGAGUGAAAAACCAGCUGAAGACGAGUGGCAGAAUGAAAUGUAGUUUUUAUUUAAAUUUUAUUUUAAUUGUCAAGAU